ACAAUGGGCCAGCAGGAAUAAUAAAGGUUUUAGCAUGAUAAAAUUAAAGAGUUCUUUUUUUCAGGGUUUUAAAGGUGUUGUGUCCCCUUAGCGCGUUCAACAAUAAACCCCCAAACUUCACUUGAAAACCUUUACUAUCAUCCUCGAUCCUUUCUCUUUCGAGCAUAUCGCUAAAAAAACUCGAUUACCUCAGCGUCCGAUCAGCGCAUAUUCGCACCGUGCAAUCUUUUGCCGCGGCAAUCAAGACCAUCGCGCUAAAGAGUUAAAGGGGAGCCUAUAAUGAAGAGACUUUCGAACCGCGUGUUUUACGCUCUUUACGAGCGACGACCUUUGACGCGCAUUCAUUUCACCGAAGAGAUACAGGGAUAAGAGACGAGGGACGAAAAUGAUGGGAUGAAAGGCACAGCCAUCCUUUUUUCGUCUUCCCUCCGCGUUCGACUCGCAACAACGAGAUGAAUAAAGACCGAUCCGACACUCACAUCGCCGGAUUUCAUCAAAGAGCCGCGAUACGAACUCCCUGUGUUUUGUAUCACGGCGCGUGAGAGAGCGAAAAGGAGGGGAGGAAAAGAUAUCACCGCGAAGAAUCGCUUCAUAUAAAUUUACGCUUGACCCACAUCGAGUCGUGAAAAUUACUAUCUGAACCACAGAUUUUUCGUUAAAUACCACGCGAGUGCAAGCCUCUACACGGUAUCUCAUUUUUUCCUCUUUGCCUUGUUGUCUUUUUUUCGGCACUUUUAUCGCACGCACGCGCGUACGUAUUAAUAUGCUAAUGAAGAGAUUUAAAUUAUACACCUCGUAUACACAUCGGUUCGCGUAUAAUACGGUAGGCCUCGCAGUCUUAUUUUCGGCUUGAGAUGAGAAGCUUGCUGCGAUUUUAAUGUGGGUUAUCAAUCUGCAAUUUAAUAUCAUUCACCGCUUUCAAUUUAUCUUCUUACAGUUAGUAAAUAUGAACUUGUGUGCGCUUGUUUUUAUAUUGCCGAUGCCGCGGUUCUCUCGCACCGCGUGUUCGUUAUCUUGCAAACUCGAGUCAUUAAAUGCUCAUUUCAAUUCGACUGUUACAGCGUAAUGUAGCAUUAAACGUAAUUUAUUUUUAUAUUGACCUUUCUUCGAACGUUGCUUUCUAGAUACGUUCGCCGAUGUGGUAUACCAACUUAUGUCAACAAACGUUUUUUCUAUAACUAACUCUUUCUUGUGAUUCUACUUUUAUUUCUGAAUAAAAAGCUAUACAUUUUUGCGAGAAAUAAUAAAACUUGUUUUAAUUUCAUAUCCAUCUUUCUGGGAGUGAAUAUCCUAAAUUAAAAAAAUUAAUUGAUCAUCAUAUGGUAAUUCAACUAAACACACAAGCCAACACUUCCUGUAUGUGUAUGAUGAAUCUUUUGUCCACUUCUACACUAACUUCAUUAUCAUCAUCCGACAAUCAUACAACGCACACGCGUCUCUCCACGCUAAUUGGGACAAUAUUUCACUCGCCUCUAUCAUCAUCAAUCUACUCCUGAAAACAAAAAGCUAGAAUCCACAGUACAGCGAACGAGCAAUCGUGUUCUCCGCAAUAACCUCAUUAACCAUAAAAACGAGGCGCAUCAUCAUCUCUCUCGCUCGCAUCCGGAAAAGCCGAGACGAGAAUAUCGAAAAAUCUUGUGGGUAGGUAGGAAACAAGGCGCGAAUAUGGAGCGACGCGCUGAAGAAGCGGCAGAUAAACGACAGCAUCUUCUCGAGCGCACGAGGCAGCGAUUGAGGAUGAUUCGUCGGCUGCGCAGUGACAACGCGGUCGAGGCUGCGCGCGGCUAAAUUAUACGCGAACGAUAUUCUCCUCUCGCGAUUGUUUGCUCUCUCGCCACCGCAAAUCGGAGCGUAUAUUGUGCCUGUAUAGUAUGUUGUGAGCGCAGAAUCACGAGAAUGGGGCACAGUGACCUGUCGGCUUAAUCGGGAUCGUCGCUCAAGUCGCGUAAUAAUGGUUCAAUUUUUUCGUUAAUCGCUGAGCUGUUUUUGUUUCCAGUGGCCGGCUAUAAAUAAACUUUAAUGAAGGUAGAGGAAAUCGAUUCUUCCGAGCGCAUACUACCUUAAGGAUAUAAUGGUUUUUUUUUUUUUUUUUUUUUUGAAGCUCUUCAUGUAUCAUCGAAAUGAUGAAUAAAUUUUUUAGAUAAAAAUUUCCGUUUGCAUGAUAAUAGCGAGCAUAUCACUCUUUUUGACGAUGCAAUUAUACAGCAGAAGAGUAAAAACGCACGUCACCUUGUAUUUUUCCUUCCUUUCGUUUGCCAGCUCGAAAACAGAAGUUAACAUCGCUGUUCGUACACGACGAACUCGACACGUUCUUAUUUACCUUGCAUAUUAAUUCGAGCUUCAUAUUGUACUCUCGCCAAAUAAACACGACAAAAGAGCGUUCGAGGAUAAAUUUUAUAGCGCGCGCUAUAUCGCUUUAAAUCUCCCGUCGAAAAAUAAUGCAGAUGUCAAGGGAAUCUGAUGAACAGAUGAAAGGAAAAAAAGGAUCAAGUGUUUGAUGAUGACGUUCCAAAGAAAAAGGCGAAGAAAAGCAAAAAAAAAUCCUCAAAGCAUCUGUACUCGGUCCCCUUGUCGCGAACCCUUUCGCUUGACACAAUAAAUGCCUCGGCGAUUAUAUUUAA